rnacentral:rRNA from 1 species
AUUGAACGCUGGCGGAAUGCUUUACACAUGCAAGUCGAACGGCAGCACGGACUUUGGUCUGGUGGCGAGUGGCGAACGGGUGAGUAAUGUAUCGGAACGUGCCCAGUCGUGGGGGAUAACGUAGUGAUAAUUACGCUAAUACCGCAUACGAUCUAUGGAUGAAAGCGGGGGAUCGCAAGACCUCGCGCGAUUGGAGCGGCCGAUAUCAGAUUAGGUAGUUGGUGGGGUAAAGGCCCACCAAGCCAACGAUCUGUAGCUGGUCUGAGAGGACGACCAGCCACACUGGAACGGAGACACGGUCCAGACUCCUACGGGAGGCAGCAGUGGGGAAUUUUGGAAAAUGGGCGAAAGCCUGAGCCAGCCAUUCCGCGUGCAGGAUGAAGGCCCUCGGGUUGUAAACUGCUUUUGUACAGAACGAAAAGGUUUCUACUAAUACUAGGAGCUCAUGACGGUACUGUAAGAAUAAGCACCGGCUACUACGUGCCAGCCGCCGCAGUAA